rnacentral:rRNA from 1 species
CAGUCGCCGCGGUAAAACGAGGGGUGCAAGCGUUAUUCGGAUUGAUUGGGUGUAAAGGGUGUGCAGACGGCUUAUUAAGUCACUUGUUAAAUUCUUCGGCCUAACUGAAGGUCUGCAAGUGAUACUGAUGAGCUAGAGGGUGGAAGAGAGAAGUGGAAUUCUCGGAGUAGCGGUAAAAUGCGUAGAUCUCGAGAGGAACACCAAUGGCGAAGGCAGCUUCUUGGUCCAUUCCUGACGUUCAUACACGAAAGCGUGGGGAGCAAACAGGAUUAGAUACCCCCGUAGUCCCUGUCUCUUAUAC